GUAGGUGGCAAGCGUUGUCCGGAAUUAUUGGGCGUAAAGCGCGCGCAGGCGGUCCUUUAAGUCUGAUGUGAAAGACCCACGGGCUCAACCGUGGAGGGUCAUUGGAAACUGGGGGACUUGAGUACAGAAGAGGAAAGCGGAAUUCCAAGUGUAGCGGUGAAAUGCGCAGAGAUUUGGAGGAACACCAGUGGCGAAGGCGGCUUUCUGGUCUGUAACUGACGCUGAGGCGCGAAAGCGUGGGGAGCAAACAGGAUUAGAUACCCUGGUAGUCCACGCCGUAAACGAUGAGUGCUAAGUGUUAGGGGGUUUCCGCCCCUUAGUGCUGCAGCUAACGCAUUAAGCACUCCGCCUGGGGAGUACGGCCGCAAAGGCUG
rnacentral:rRNA from 1 species